rnacentral:rRNA from 1 species
CAGUCGCCGCGGGAAUACGAAGGGGGCUAGCGUUGCUCGGAAUGACUGGGCGUAAAGGGCGCGUAGGCGGUUCGUACAGUUGGAUGUGAGAUUCCUGGGCUUAACCUGGGGGCUGCAUUCAAUACGUGCGGGCUUGAGUGUGGAAGAGGGUUGUGGAAUUCCCAGUGUAGAGGUGAAAUUCGUAGAUAUUGGGAAGAACACCGGUGGCGAGGCGGCAACCUGGUCCAUAACUGACGCUGAGGCGCGAAAGCGUGGGGAGCAAACAGGAUUAGAUACCCCAGUAGUCCCUGUCUCUUAUACC